GAACCGGAAGUUACGGUCUUCUUCAUGUGUUGCACUUGGAAGUUUCCAAGUUUUUUUUAUAUACUGUCUAUGGACGUUUCCCGCAAUUUGGAAAACAGUUAGACGAGGCCUGGAAAACAUCAAUUAUGCAGUGAUUGUAAGUUAAUGACUCAGUAUUUCUUAAGUAAUUUCGUAUUGACACCAUGGCCGCACUGGAACCAUAUGCUGAUUUAAUUAAAGAUUUAUUUGAAACUGGCAAGACACAUGUAGAGAUUUCCACAACGCUGCAGCAGAUGGGUGUCCAGCGAUGUUCUGAAAUAAGUGUGAGAAGAUUCUGUGUUCAGCACAACCUUAAGCGAAAAAGACAUGUAUCGGACACAGAACUGGAGAGGGCUGUGGUUGGAUCAAUAUAUGAAGUAAGUUUUUUUUUUUAGGUUUUCACAUUUUAUAUCCUGCCCGUCUUUCAAAUGUUGUAGCGAAUAACUGUAUUUUUCUUAACAGACGGGCCCAUCUUAUGGCCGCAAGUUCAUGACUGGAUAUCUGUCUUCAAUGGGAGUGCAUGCAGGAGAAUGUCGAGUUGGGAAAAUCCUCAGAGAGAUUCAUCAGCCAUACCACGAAUUCCGACGUCAGGGUGCUCGUAAUCUAAAUCCCAUCCCGUAUCAUGCGGAAUAUAUGGGCCAUAAAAUUCACAUGGACCAAAACGAGAAGCUUGUGAUGUUUGGAGUGACACACGUCGUGGCAGUUGAUGGCUACAGCGGCAAAAUUGUUGCCAAUGCCACCAUGCCAGUGAAAAACAACCUUGUGAUUUAUGAGGAAGUUUACAGAAUCUUCGAGUGGAAAGGAUUUGGCCCGAGGUGAACAAUCGCGUUAACUACCCAUUGAAACAGGCCCUGGUACACCUGCUGGACCAAGAAGUCCUCAACAUGGAGGACAAUAUGACUAAAUUCUGCAUUUCAAACCUGACAUGUCAAUUAAGCCAAAUUGGACUAGGCAGAGUGGUGCAAUCGUGGAAUGCACACAGGAUCCCAGGACGUGGGAUACCCAAUGAACUUGCAGCAGGUGGCUGUCCAGCUAAAAUCUCUGAAGAGCUGCUGCCCAAUGCCUCUGUUGUGGCAAACAUGUAUGAGCAAGAGUUUGGAUCCUCGCUAACUUGGGUGUCAGUUUUUGGAACUGACCCAUUUUCAUCUGAGGAGGAUAGAUGUCAUGCAGAACAAGACUUUGCAGAAAACUACCCUGACAUCUCUCUUCUUUUUAAUCAUGUGGUAAAUAAUGACUAUACACCUUUCCAAGAUGCCUUGUUGUACCUCAUAAAUGUCACCCAAAGAUAUGUCUGA
rnacentral:lncRNA from 1 species